rnacentral:rRNA from 1 species
UACCAGACUCCUACGGGAGGCAGCAGUGGGGAAUUUUGGACAAUGGGCGCAAGCCUGAUCCAGCUAUUCCGCGUGUGGGAUGACGGCCCUCGGGUUGUAAAGUACUUUCAGCGGGGAGGAAGGUGUUGUGGUUAAUAACCACAGCAAUUGACGUUACCCGCAGAAGAAGCACCGGCUAACUCCGUGCCAGCAGCCGCGGUAAUACGGAGGGUGCAAGCGUUAAUCGGAAUUACUGGGCGUAAAGCGCACGCAGGCGGUUUGUUAAGUCAGAUGUGAAAUCCCCGGGCUCAACCUGGGAACUGCAUCUGAUACUGGCAAGCUUGAGUCUCGUAGAGGGGGGUAGAAUUCCAGGUGUAGCGGUGAAAUGCGUAGAGAUCUGGAGGAAUACCGGUGGCGAAGGCGGCCCCCUGGACGAAGACUGACGCUCAGGUGCGAAAGCGUGGGGAGCAAACAGGAUUAGAUACCCGCGUA